rnacentral:rRNA from 1 species
AUUGAACGCUGGCGGAAUGCUUUACACAUGCAAGUCGAACGGCAGCACGGACUUCGGUCUGGCGGCGAGUGGCGAACGGGUGAGUAAUGUAUCGGAACGUGCUCAGUCGUGGGGGAUAACGUAGUGAAAAUUACGCUAAUACCGCAUACGAUCUAUGGAUGAAAGCGGGGGAUCGCAAGACCUCGCGCGAUUGGAGCGGCCGAUAUCAGAUUAGGUAGUUGGUGGGGUAAAGGCCCACCAAGCCAACGAUCUGUAGCUGGUCUGAGAGGACGACCAGCCACAGUGGAACUGAGACACGGUCCAGACUCCUACGGGAGGCAGCAGUGGGGAAUUUUGGACAAUGGGCGAAAGCCUGAUCCAGCCAUUCCGCGUGCAGGAUGAAGGCCCUCGGGUUGUAAGCUGCUUUUGUACAGAACGAAAAGGUUUCUACUAAUACUAGGAGCUCAUGACGGUACUGUAAGAAUAAGCACCGGCUAACUACGUGCCAGCCGCCGCCGUAA